CGGUUCGCGCUUCCGCCGGCGACCGGCGCACGGGUGAGUAACACGUAUGGAACCUGCCCGCAGCAGGGGGAUAAUCGGGGGAAACCCCGUCUAAUACCGCGUAACGACCCGGAGGGGCAUCCCUUCGGGUCCAAAGGUUUACCGGCUGCGGAUGGCCAUGCGUCGCAUUAGCUGGUUGGCGGGGUAACGGCCCACCAAGGCGACGAUGCGUAGGGGUUCUGAGAGGAAGGUCCCCCACACUGGUACUGAGACACGGACCAGACUCCUACGGAAGGCAGCAG
rnacentral:rRNA from 1 species